UACAGAGGGCCCAAGCGUUGUUCGGAUUCACUGGGCGUAAAGGGUGCGUAGGUGGUGAGGUAAGUCGGAUGUGAAAUCUCCAAGCUCAACUUGGAAACUGCAUUGGAAACUACCUUGCUAGAGGAUUUGAGGGGGGAUUGGAAUACUUGGUGUAGCAGUGAAAUGCGUAGAUAUCAAGUGGAACACCAGUGGCGAAGGCGAAUCCCUGGAAAAUACCUGACACUGAGGCACGAAAGCUAGGGGAGCAAACAGG
rnacentral:rRNA from 1 species